CGAGUGAAGCGGCAACAGCUCAAAUUUGAAAUCUGGAGCCUUCGGCUUCCGAGUUGUAAUUUGAAGAGGAUGUUUCGGUGCGGCCUGGGCCUAAGUUCCUUGGAACAGGACGUCAUGGAGGGUGAGAAUCCCGUACAUGGCUGCAGGCUUGCUUCUAUGUGAAACUCCUUCGAAGAGUCGAGUUGUUUGGGAAUGCAGCUCAAAAUGGGUGGUAAAUUUCAUCUAAAGCUAAAUAUUGGCGGGAGACCGAUAGCGCACAAGUAGAGUGAUCGAAAGAUGAAAAGCACUUUGAAAAGAGAGUUAAACAGUACGUGAAAUUGUUGAAAGGGAAGCGCUUGCAAUCAGACUCGCCUUCAGUUGAUCAGCCUUCCUUCUGGUUGGUGCACUCUGCUGUUGGCGGGCCAGCAUCAGUUGGGGCGGCGGGACAAAGGUGGCAGGAAUGUGGCUCGUUCGCGAGUGUUAUAGCCUGCUGUGUCAUGCCGCCAGCCCCGACUGAGGUCCGCGGUUCGCCUAGGAUGCUGGCUUAAUGGUUGU
rnacentral:rRNA from 1 species